ACUUGUUGAAUAAUCAAAGUGUAAAAAAUAUUGUUUUUAUUCUCAGGACGUCGCAAAUCCAGAAAAGUCUACAGACAUUUCGGAAAGGCACCAGGAACUCCACACUCCAACACUAAGCCAUAUGUGCGUUCCAAAGGCAGGAAGUUCGAGCGUGCUCGUGGUCGUCGUGCCAGUCGUGGCUACAAGAACUAAACAGCUGUUUUUAUGCCACCCAAAUUCUGAUGGGAUUAUGUAAAAAUAUAGGAAGUACAAAAAAAAAAAAAAACCAACUGUUUAAUCGACCAUGGAGAUUUUACUUAUGUCUCUGUGAUUGGACCAUCUUAACAUGUGUAUGAUCUGUUAUGAUAAAUAAAUCAGCUCUACAAGAAA